AGGACGAACGCUGGCGGCGUGCUUAACACAUGCAAGUCGAGCGGAAAGGCCUUUCGGGGUACUCGAGCGGCGAACGGGUGAGUAACACGUGAGUAAUCUGCCCAUCGCUUCAGGAUAGCCAUCGGAAACGGUGAUUAAUACUGGAUAUGACAUUCCUUCGCAUGUUGGGGUGUGGAAAGUUUUUUCGGCGGUGGAUGUGCUCGCGGCCUAUCAGCUUGUUGGUGGGGUAAUGGCCUACCAAGGCUUUGACGGGUAGCCGGCCUGAGAGGGUGAUCGGCCA
rnacentral:rRNA from 1 species